ensembl:snRNA U2 U2 spliceosomal RNA
AUCGCUUCUUGGCCUUUUGGCUAAGAUCAAGUGUAGUACAGUAAACUACAUUUUUAACUUUUCAAAAAAAAAAAGAAAAAUCAACUUUAAGAGAGAUGGUGUGGUGACUUGAUGCUCUGCUGUGCAUAUCACAAUCCUU